CAGCUUUUGCUUUUGCUGCUUUUGCUUUUCGCUUUGCUCUCUCUCACUCUUGCUCGCUUCGCUUCUGCUUGCUUUUGCUCUUUAGCUAGUUUAGCUAAACUGUCCAAUUUCUUCCUGGACGGUUUCUCCUUUCCUUUUUCUGAUCAUUUUGAACCUGCUCCGGACUGGGACCUGGGAAACACCAAGAUUCUGCACCUUGUGGCCUGCAGCAGCUGCCCCAGCGCCGGAGGGACUGAGAACAGAGUGAGCAACCCCCAAGAGAGACUUUCUGAAUUUGUCAUCUCUUUUUCAGAGCGGUGCCAUCCGCUUCCAUUUCUUAUUCUUGUUCUGCAGCUAAUGCAGCAACAAGUUUCAUGGAAUAUCCAAGCAAAGACACAGCUACCAAGAUACUUCUGAAAUGGUGUGAUGUGUGGGAAGAGUACUUCUCUGCAAACUCAACUAUUCCGCAAGACAUUUUUUUCAAAGUGAGAUUGGGCCCAGGAGACUGGGUGAACUCUAGAACAAAGCAAGUUCUGCCUGUUAGUUAUGUUUGAUGCAACUGUUAUGUUAAAUAUUUCCUUUUCCCCACACUUUGAUGUAUUAAUCCAGUUAGAAAGGGCUCUUGAUCUUGGAACACACUCUCAUGCUUUAGAAAAAACAGCACCUAAAAUACAGCCUUGACAAUGCUUUACCCAGAAAAAGGAGUGUUUUGAAAUAAUCAGAUGCUUUCUACCAAGGAUCAGAAAAUGCCAGUUUUCUGUUUCUAGUGUGCUUUACUCCAGCUGAUCUAGAAUGACAGAUGGCAGUUAACGAUAUUUUCUCCUAGCAGAGUCUCUAACCCCAAAUGGUUUAUACCAUAACAUAUCAUUGUAACAUUUUCUAGUUUUUCUUAUGCAGUAAAAUGCUGCAUGCAGAUACCGUACCAAGACCUUUUCAAUAAAUCAUUAAAAUAGCGCUUUUAUAAUCUCAGAGGGAGGGUGUUAACUUCAGCAUCUACCAUUUAUAAUCACAACACAGCACUGUUGCUGCUGGGAAAAGAAGUGCAACUUUACAUGUUUUUUUACAUAUAAAAAUGCCAGGUGGAUGAAACAAGAGCUGGAUUAUUCUGGACUUUGUGUACACCAUCUAUAUGCCACUAUUUUAUUUGUACAAAUGCAUUACUUUGGAAGCAUGAGAACAGUCAGACUCACAACCUUAUGAAUAAACUAGUGUCUAAUUCACAAAAGCCACGUUGAAACUGCAGUAAUCAGAGCCUUGACCACAAUGCAUAAUUUUGAAGAUGCAUCUUUCUCUGUAUACCAAGGCCUUUUCUAAUAGCUGCAUAUUAAACCAAGAAUGGUCAAUGGUUGCCUUUAA